rnacentral:rRNA from 1 species
UACAGAGGUCUCAAGCGUUUGUUCGGAUUCAUUGGGCGUAAAGGGGUGCGUAGGCGGCGCGGUAAGUCGGGUGUGAAAUCUUGGAGCUUAACUCCGAAACUGCAUUCGAUACUGCCCGUGCUUGAGGACUGGAGAGGAGACUGGAAUUUACGGUGUAGCGGUGAAAUGCGUAGAUAUCGUAAGGAAGACCAGUGGCGAAGGCG